UAUCAGAGGCGUGGGGCCAGGAGUGGUGGGGCCGGGCGUGUGCCCUCCCUGUCGCCGGGGCUGGGCUCCCGGCCCCUGGGGCCCCUGGGGUCCUUGGCCUUUAGGCCGUGAGUUGGGCUGCCUGACUGUGGAGUCUGGUUCCUGUUGCCCUGGGGGAAGGCCGAGCUCCGUGGCUCCCUGGGUGCGGACCGGCCUGUAAGCAGGCUGUGGGUCCGGGCGCCUUUGUGCGCCCUUCAGCUGGCAGCCUGCGUUGAGCGCCCUCCCCGUUAGUGGGGAGUGGGCCCGAAUUGGAGAGAAGGAGCCUCCGUAGGCCUCGGGGACCAGGGCCGCCCUGUAAGUCGGGGCCGGUGCUCUGGAGUCCCGGGCAUUUUGCAGUGCAGGCAGCGGCUGGGGCCGCCCUGUAAGCAGGGGUGCAGCCUCUUGCGCGCUGCUUUGCUUUGUGCCCAGCUUCUUUUGCCCAGAGGGCCCGGCUCCCAGCGCGGCGUUGGACUUUGGCGGACGUCGAGGUGGAGCCGAGCGACGGCCGGGCAAGGACAAGCUGGAUGAGCGUCAGCUUCGAGGUCAAGAGUGGAACGGCGAGGCAAGAGCGAGCUCGGAGCAGAAGAAGGAGCACGAGAGGCCCUCUGGGCAAAAGGCCUUGGUGGCACGGCCAGGGCACCUUCAAGGUGCCGCGGCUGACUUUGCUUGUGCUGGGCGACCUCCCUGCGUGCAGGGCUGCGUCUUUGCUCUGCUUGGCCUUUUGCCGUUGUGCUCCUUUGGCUGCCUGGAGAGAGGGGCAACCCUGUAAGGAGGGUGAGAGCCCCUUUUCUCUGCACCUGAGGGGGGAAACGGAGCUCCCCGAGCCCCCAGCCCGGCCGCCCUGUAAGCGGGGCAGGGCUUUUUCCCAGCCGUGGCAGCUUUCUGCCUGCUGCUGGCCCCUGGCCAGCGUUACCCCCUGUACUCGGGGCGCGUCACAGCCUUUGUCCCCGUAGCAGCCCUGAAGCGCCUCAGCGCGUCGAGGCCCCUGUGCCCUCCCCACGGUGCGGUGCGGUGCAGGUCUGAUGCUUUUGUCUCCUGCUGAGCACUGGGGGUGGCUCCCUUGAGCCCUUUGGCUGCACGGGACUCGCUCCCUCUUCUGGGACAACUGUCUUCCCCUCCCUCCCUUGUCAUUGCGUUAGGUGGUGUGAAUGAGCCCGGCGCGUUUGCGCUUUAGCCCCCCUUUAGAAAUAGAGCAGGGUAGCUUAGGCUUCCCAGGAGAGCCCGAGGAGCUCCGUGCAGCCACAAGCCGGUCCCCAAAACGCUUGCGUGGACAAAGUGUCUGGCCUCGCCCCUGCUUUCUGCGGAGGGCACGAAGCCGCUUAACGGUAGCGUGGGCAACGUGACCCGCCUGUAGCCAGGGCCUGGGUCUGGGCCUAGGGUGCCCUUUGUGCUGGUGAACUGGCAGCGUGCGGGCCCCUUAACCUGGGCACGUGUCAGGAACUUGCUUGUCCCUUUUUCCCCAGGAGCAGCCCCAGGGCCCUGUAAGCAGAGGUGGGGAGGCUGCUUUAGCCGGGUGACAGGAACGCCUGCGCCCGGGCCUUUGCCCCUAAGCGGGGCGCAGGCCGGAGCCCGUGCUCCGUGGCGCUUGUUGGGGGGUGCCGGGCUGCGGGGGGCGGCCCCGUAAGCGGGGUUGUGUGCGCCCCCUGGUCUCGGCGGGCGGUUGGAGGGACCCCCUGUAAUCAGGCGGGUGUCCCUGGCCCCAGCCUAUCAGAGGCGUGGGGCCAGGAGUGGUGGGGCCGGGCGUGUGCCCUCCCUGUCGCCGGGGCUGGGCUCCCGGCCCCUGGGGCCCCUGGGGUCCUUGGCCUUUAGGCCGUGAGUUGGGCUGCCUGACUGUGGAGUCUGGUUCCUGUUGCCCUGGGGGAAGGCCGAGCUCCGUGGCUCCCUGGGUGCGGACCGGCCUGUAAGCAGGCUGUGGGUCCGGGCGCCUUUGUGCGCCCUUCAGCUGGCAGCCUGCGUUGAGCGCCCUCCCCGUUAGUGGGGAGUGGGCCCGAAUUGGAGAGAAGGAGCCUCCGUAGGCCUCGGGGACCAGGGCCGCCCUGUAAGUCGGGGCCGGUGCUCUGGAGUCCCGGGCAUUUUGCAGUGCAGGCAGCGGCUGGGGCCGCCCUGUAAGCAGGGGUGCAGCCUCUUGCGCGCUGCUUUGCUUUGUGCCCAGCUUCUUUUGCCCAGAGGGCCCGGCUCCCAGCGCGGCGUUGGACUUUGGCGGACGUCGAGGUGGAGCCGAGCGACGGCCGGGCAAGGACAAGCUGGAUGAGCGUCAGCUUCGAGGUCAAGAGUGGAACGGCGAGGCUAGAGCGAGCUGCGUUAGGCACUUUCCUUACUGAGGUCUUUUAUUGACAGCGUUGUUCUUUUUUAUGUAUAACGUCUUUUUUAUAUUUUGUAUUGUUUCUUUUAUGUUGUUUUAUGAAUAUAAAUAAAAA